UCCAGCUGUAUUGGGACUACAGUUCCCAUCAUCCCUGACCACUGGUCCUGUUACCUAGGAAGGAUGGGAGUUGUGGUCCCAAAACAGCUGGA